rnacentral:rRNA from 1 species
AAUUGUUCGCAAUGGGCGGAAGCCUGACGACGCAACGCCGCGUGGAGGAUGAAGAAUUUCGGUUCGUAAACUCCUGUCGAGCGGGACGAAAGAUGCGCGGGUUAAUACCCCGCGCAAGUGACGGUACCGCUAAAGGACGCACCGGCUAACUCCGUGCCAGCAGCCGCGGUAAUACGGAGGGUGCGAGCGUUGUCCGGAAUCACUGGGCGUAAAGGGCGCGUAGGCGGCCUGGUAAGUAGGGGGUGAAAUCCUGCGGCUCAACCGCAGGGCUGCCUUCUAAACUGUCAGGCUCGAGCACGGUAGAGGCAGAUGGAAUUCCCGGUGUAGCGGUGGAAUGCGUAGAGAUCGGGAAGAACAUCAGUGGCGAAGGCGGUCUGCUGGGCCGUUGCUGACGCUGAGGCGCGACAGCGUGGGGAGCAAAC